AAGUCGUAACAAGGUCUCCGUAGGUGAACCUGCGGAGGGAUCAUUACCGAGUGAGGGUGCCCCCGGGCGCCGCACCUCCCAACCCUUUGUUUUGACCAACACCUCAGUUGCCUCGGGGGUGACCCGGCCCUCACGGGGUCCGAGGCCCCCGCUGGACCUGACCACCAUCAAUCGACUGCAUCUCUGCGUCGGAGUCAUUGAAGCGAAUUCAAUCAAAA
rnacentral:misc_RNA from 1 species